rnacentral:rRNA from 1 species
GAUGAACGCUAGCGACAGGCCUAACACAUGCAAGUCGAGGGGCAGCACAUGAGUAGCAAUACGAUGGUGGCGACCGGCGCACGGGUGAGUAACACGUAUGCAACCUGCCUUCUACUAUGGGAUAACCCGUUGAAAGACGGACUAAUACCGUAUAAUACAGGGGCUCCGCAUGGAGAUAUUUGUUAAAAAUUUAUUGGUAGAAGAUGGGCAUGCGUAUGAUUAGAUAGUUGGUGAGGUAACGGCUCACCAAGUCAACGAUCAUUAGGGGUUCUGAGAGGAAGGUCCCCCACACUGGUACUGAGACACGGACCAGACUCCUACGGGAGGCAGCAGUGAGGAAUAUUGGUCAAUGGACGAGAGUCUGAACCAGCCAAGUCGCGUGAAGGAAGACGGUUCUAUGAAUUGUAAACUUCUUUUGUGCAGGAAUAAAGUGGGUUACGUGUAACCUUUUGUAUGUACUGUACGAAUAAGGAUCGGCUAACUCCGUGCCAGCCGCCGCGGUAA